GUGACGAACAUAUAGAAUAUUGAUUUGCACCAGAUUACUUAAUUCAAAAUCAUGGAUUUAUCUUUGAAAAAAAACCAUGACGAGCAAAAUGAAAAACAUCAUAUCACGUCUAUUUUUCAACCGAAGAAAACUUCACAUUUUUCUUCAAAAAUCUGUCAAAGUACAUCAAAUCCACAUUCAAAUUUAUACUCAUCAAAUAUUGCUUCAAAUUCCUCAGCAUUUAAAACACAACAGAUUAGAGGUGUUCAAACAACAAGCAAUACUAAACCCCCUGAUAUAGUAUUGUUGCCAGCGACUUCUUCCGAUUUUACUCCUGCAGACUACUCAAAUGUGAUAUAUUCUCAUUCAAAUGAAUAUUCAUCGAAUUCUGCUUCAGAUUUUUCAGUAUUUACAGCGCAAAAGAUUAGAGGUGUUCAAACAACAAGUGAUAUUAAACCUCUUAAUAUAAUUUUUUUGCCAGCGACUUCUUCAGAUUUUACUCCCGCAGACUACUCAAAUGUGAUAUAUUCUCAUUCAAAUGAAUAUUCAUCGAAUUCUGCUUCAGAUUUUUCAGUAUUUACAGCGCAAAAGAUUAGAGCUGUUGAAACAAGUGAUAUUAAACCUCCUAUUAUUGUUUGUUCAUCGGCAACUACUUCACAUUUCACUUUGCCACAUUACCCAAAUAUGUUAUACACUCAAUCUAAAGAAUACUCAUCGAAUACUGCUUCAGAUUCCUCAGCAUUUGAAACACAAAAUAUUAGAGUCAUUAAAACAAAAAAUAAUACAAUACCCUCUGGUAUUAUUUAUUCACCGGUGACUACUUCACAUUUUACUUCAAGAAUCUAUUCAAGAAUCAAUAAAACUGAGGAAGUUAGUCCUUUAAAUCCUCCUUUAUCAUCAGUGAAUACAUCGAAUUUUUCUCCUAUGGAUAACAAAGGAAUCAGCCCUAAAGUUAUAGAGUACGUUUUAGAACGCCAAAAAAGUGCUGCUAAUCAAAGUUUAGUCGAUAAAGUGGAUAUUAAUUGCACUGUGUGCAGCACCGAUGAACAUAAUCCUGUCAAACAUGUUAUUAUUCCUGAAAAUGAUCAAAUUCCACUUCAACUGCCCAGCAUGCCUAGGAUACAAGAAAUACCUGAAUCAACACAGCCAAAUAUCUUAGUAAAAUCUAAAAGAGUAAUAAGAAGAUGUAUACCAAAUGUACCGAUAAGUAAACAUAAACCUAUUAACAAAAAAAUGUUUCAAGAAUCAAUUCAAGUAUACAACUUCAAUAAACUUAAUAAACAAAAUAAAUCAACUAAACCAAUUGAAGUUUAUCCAAGUUCUUGUUCAUCCAUUCAAUCAUCUUACUCAGUAGGUGAAAAGAGCGCAUUUAAACCCUAUUAUACACAAUCAAUAAAAAAUUCAACAAACUUUGAAAUUCCGGGGAAAACUGAAUUAUUUUAUCUUCCAAUUUACGAUAUAUCAAUGUUAUCUCCAUUACAAGCUACUGAUGAAACUGAUAGUCAUUCUUUUGAAUUACAAGAUGGUCUGGAGUUGGAACCACGUGCAUAUAGAAUGUGCAAUCCUUCAUCUCAUAAUAUACCAUUAACUCAAUUUACACCCAUUGGAAAUUCAAUCAAACCAGGUAUACCAAAAUUGUCAGCUCAUGAAGUUGGAGAUGAACUUAAUAUUUGUCCUGUAAUAUUACAUCCUUCAAAACAAUUGGGUUCACAAGUUCAGAUGAAAAGUGAUGGGCUUAUUAAAACAAUUGGAUUUGCACCUGCACGAUCUCAAAUGACAGCUCAAGCGCAAAACCGUAUUGUUACAACAUCAAUGCAACGUUCUAUUAUGGAAUCUCAAAAUGUUUCCCCUCUUAUAAUAACACCUACAUCGCAUGUUAUUCAUUCGUCAAAUGAAGUUGUUCCUGCUAAAAUUGUUCCAAUACCAUCAACUCCUGCUGUAUCACAUUUUUCUGUAAUAAAUAAGACAGGUUCUUAUGAUAGCAUACCUGAAUAUACAGGUAUACGUCAAAGUUUGGUGCCAGGCACACCACCAGUUUAUACUCAGAGUGAUUUUGCUCGUUUUCCUCCUAAAAGUUACCACCAUAAAAAUGCUGUUGUUAAUCCUGCAGUUAUUCAUGGUCCCAUUCCUGGAAAUAUUGAUGAGCCGUGCAUAAAUAUACCCAAUAGUCAACAUGUAUUUAAACCAAUUAUUUCACCCAGGCCUAGUAUUUUAAGGAAGCGUGAUGCAGAUGGUGUACUUAGAGCGCAAAAAAACCUAAUACCAAUAUUAACCAAGCCUGAUAUUGAAGAAUGUCAAAAUACAGACGAAACAUCACUAAAUAGAAAUGGAUAUAGUGAAACUGGUUUACAAUUAGAUUCACUUGUGGUACCACAAAUACCAGAGGUAAGAUUACUACCUCAAAUUUCUGCCUUAAAUAAGCAAUCACACAUAAUGGUUGAAAUUAGUCCACGGAAAAAACCUCGUAAACAGCUACUCCCUGUUAAUCAAGAAGAUAGUCCAUUUAAAAUAGUUGGUGAUGAUAUGGAGUAUGUGGAAGAAAAAUCAAUAAAAAAUGAUAAAUCCGAAGAUUUUACCGAUGAAGUUUUCAAUUGUAAUGACGAUUUAAUUGAUGGCGAUGCUGAAGAUGAAGCAGAAGAUGACUUAGAUGAUAUGGAUGUUGAUGAUGAUUGUCCUGCUGAUGAUGAUUAUGAUGACGAUGAUGAUGAUUUCGGGAAUGAUUUUGGAGACGAAUUUGAUUAUGUUAAGUCCGAUAAAACAUUCUUUGAAGAAAAUAAAACACCUGCAGAAGUCAGUGAUGAAAGCUCAGCUUGUGUUAAACCUAAAAAUAAACGACCAACAUUAUUGGGAAGUUAUAAAAAUACGUGGCGGGGGGGAAACUCUCACCAUUUUCAAAGGCACAUUGAUUUUAAAGUCAAAGAAACUAAAAAGCAAUUAGCUGAUAUGCAACAAGCUAAAAAAUGGACGUCAGAUAGCAUAUCUGGAUGGAGAGUUCGGCACUUAUUAGAUCAAUUUGAUGAAAUGAUAAAUAUCGAAGACGACAUUAUUACAAGAAUGACUGAACUUAUGUCUGGAAUUGAAGCUAAUGUAAAAGAUCUUAGGCAGCGCCAUAAUCUCAUUGAACUCGUUAAAGAUAACAUUCAAAGAAGCAAAGUAUCAAGAGCUCAAUUAGAUGAAAUUAGACAGCAAUUGAAAAAAAUAUUCGACUAUAAAUCAUUGAUUGAAGACGUAGUUGAUAAAUAUUGUCCCAAAGACCUUAAAAAGAAAUAUGCAAAAGUAUUUAAUCUUAGCAAAUCUUAGACGAUAUGUAUUGCCAAUAAGAAUAAUUUGAUUUACACUGCACAUAUAUCAGAGAAAUACCCAAUGAAGUAUGUUUAUUGCAAGUACAUUAAUGGUAUAGAAAAUAAAUGAUUUUCAAGCUUCGAUAAAAACUGAAAACGAUUCUAGUGAACAAGUAGAAGAUUUGUUUAUGUUGGAGUUUAAAUAAUUGAUAAUCAGCUUAAACGGUGCACUAGGAAUAUUGAUCAGAUGGGUUAUUCAAAUUUCAAAAUAUUAAUACAGGUCGUGUGUUAAAAUGUUUUGGGAUUAUGCACUAUCAACAUGGUUGGUGUUGAAGGAGUGAAUAAUAACCAAUGCUCUCCGUUAAUGGAAUAAGUUACAAGGAGAUGAAUAUGUUGGUUAGGAUUUACCAUCAAAUUCACUUCACCUGUUAAAGAAUGGCAAAAUCAAUUUUUUAAUUUACAAAAUAAUACAUUUUGGAGCUAUCAAGAAGUUUUAUCUUUCUGUGGUUAAAAAUUGAUGUCCUGAAAAGAUGUGCUUGUAAUCAACCACCUCUGAAUAAGCGUCACUUGCAUCACACGGAGACACAUCGUAGCCAAGGAACCUCCAUGUCCAGAUUGCAGUAUUUUCGUGCAGUAAAAUCGAGUGAUCUAUAGUUACAAAUUAUUGGUAAUAAUACUUUGAACUAAUACUAUUUAUGAAAUUACUGAAAUUCAUAUAUUUAAAAUAGGUCU